AUGCCGCGUGUGUGAAGAAGGCCUUCGGGUUGUAAAGCACUUUCAGUUGUGAGGAAAAGUUAGUAGUUAAUACCUGCUAGCCGUGACGUUAACAACAGAAGAAGCACCGGCUAACUCCGUGCCAGCAGCCGCGGUAAGACGGAGGAUGCAAGUGUUAUCCGGAAUUAUUGGGCGUAAAGCGUCUGUAGGUUGCCUAACAAGUCUGUUGUUAAAGGUUAAAGCUUAACUUUAAAACUGCAGCAGAAACUGCUAGGCUUGAGUACAGUCGAAGUAGAGGGAAUUUCCAGUGAAGCGGUGAAAUGCGUAGAUAUUGGAAGGAACACCAAUGGCGAAAGCACUCUACUAGACUUUUACUGACACUCAGAGACGAAAGCUAGGGUAGCAAAUGGGAUUAGAUACCCCAGUAGUCCUAGCCGUAAACGAUGGAUACUAAACAUUGCGUGCAUCGAUCCGCGUGGUGUUAUAGCUAACGCGUUAAGUAUCCCGCCUGGGGAGUAUGCUCGCAAGGGUGAAACUCAAAGGAAUUGACGGGGGCCCGCACAAGCGGUGGAGCAUGUGGUUUAAUUCGAUGCAACGCGAAGAACCUUACC
rnacentral:rRNA from 12 species